UCCACAUCAGCUUGCAAUUUUUUAAAAAAAUUGCUCCUGAAAAUUCAUCAUUAUUUUAGUGCAAAUUUCUCCAUUGCGUGAAUUUUUUGCCUAACAUACCUAUUUCUGCAAAGCAAUUUCCCCCAAUAUUUGCAUUUUAAUGCACACUUUACCCUCAUACAAAUUACUUGGCUGGAGAACCGCACUGCAUAAUUUGCAGAAGUGUGAAUUUCAAAGGAUCGCUGUGUUUCACUUUUGUGUAUUGGUUUGGAAUAAACAAAGUAGGAAGGUUCAUCUUGAAGUGUGAACUGAAUCGAAUUUCUCCCACUUCCUUAGGUUUCAUGUAGAGGCACCACACACACCAACACAUACAUAAAUGUCUGCUGACAUAGAGCGUAGAACCAUCGAGUUGGAGGGGGCUUCAGAGGCCAACCCCCAGCUUGAUCCAGAUAGCCCGGAGCUGGAACAUCCACAGGACAUUACUCUUUAGCUUCUGUUUGAAGAACUCCAGUGAAGAAGAGCCCACCACCCCUCUAGGAACACAAACGCGUGGAAUUGGUUAAACUUGGAGACUAUAUGAUAUUGUAACUUGACCAAAAGGCCAAGCAAUGAGCAUCAUGGAGAAGAAAAGCAGAGCAGAGGAGGAGCCCAACUAGAGAGGAGCCACGGACUUUGACUGUGCCCAGUGGAAGAAUGGGGCUGCCUUGCACAGCUCCCACCUAGACCGAACCACUGUGGCCUGGAAACUGCCUUUGGCAAUUCAGCACUGCCUGGUGACCUUUCUUAGGUGAGUUUUUAGGGUGAACUAGGGAGAGAACUUUGCCACCUGAUCCACUCCAGGGCUAUAGGUUCAAGUCCCUGCCUGGACUCAUGGCAGUGUUUUCCUUCCCUGCCCUUCCAGGCUUCUGAAAAAGCAGUUGUUUCUUUUACUGCUUGUUUCCAGCUGCUGGCUGAUGGGACCAUGAAAGAAUUUCACUUGCCUGUGUCAAUGGCUGUUUAGUUCCAGAAUUUUUGCCUCCCUUAUAGCAAAUGUUAAUUGUUUCAUUUUUCAUUUUUGUGUCAGGAAUUCUGUCCCAACUAAUUGAGGACUGGCACUGGGCAGGGGCCACAGCAUUAGGGCAAGUGGGGUGCUAUAUGCUCCACCUACAGGGUGGGUACGGCCUUAUGGGCCCAAUGGCUCACUUCCACUCAGUUUGCACUCUGCAGUAUCUUCCAUAGCUUCUGGUUCAUGAAAGCAGACAACAUGAGUGGCGUAAGCUGGCUGUUUCCCCAAACUGACCUUCCAGCAACUGGGUUGAAAAGUAUCACUGGUAGCAGGGCUGCCAUGUUGUUUUGGUCCUUUGCCCAUGCCGUGAUCUGCCUGGAAGCUAUAAUUUAGUGAACUUGUGACCUGAUUUUACCCCAACACUUGUUGCCAUAAUUCCCCUUCCUGUCCUGCUCCACUUCCAACUACAGGUAUAAUCAAUAAUAGCUAGCGACAAUGUCCCAAUACAUAAUUAUGCUUUUUGAAAUACUUCACCAAAGUAAGAGAGGGUAAAUGGAUUAUGGAACUUUGUUACUUAAAACAGUAUCACUUUUAUACACAGGGACAUGCAUAUUGCAUGUAAAUAAUGAAGGUAGUUUAUAGAAGCUGAAUCUUUAAAGGUGAUACUGUAAUUAACUUAUAAAAUGCAAUGACUUUAUGUGAACAUACAUACAAAAUAAAAAAUGAAAUAAAAUAUGGGGAUUUAUACAUGCCUAACAGCAAUAGCAGGGGUCACCAGGGGAAUGUCAAAAGGAAAGUGAAUGCUUAGAUGAACUGUCUUAGUACUUUUAUUUUAAUUAUUAGUAACAUAUUAAAUAACAUCUAAAAGCUAAAAGCUAAAUUUACAUUAUUAUAUCAUUCUUUUAGAAAAUUAAUAUCAUCAGUGGCAAUUAGAAUUUGCACACUCUCUUAUGCUUAACUUAAUAAUUAGACAAAUAACAUUUUUAUUACAAUCUUACGUUUUUCUGAUGCCAUGUCAGUCUGAAAGAGAACACAGAGUGAAAUGGUUACAGCACUUUGAGUCACAACAACCAGUGAGAAAUAUCACCUAGAACACCAGCUAAUUUACCAUUGAAGCCUGUAGGUCAAUCCUAAAUACACUUUCUUGGAAGUAAAACCCACUGGAUUCAAUUGGAGUUCCUUCCUGAUAAGUAUUGCAACUUAAUUGGUUGCCCAGACAAGCUGAAUUCUAAUAAGAGCUAGCAAUGCCUUUAAGCCACUGAUGAACCUUGGUAAUUAGUUCCUGCUAUUAUCAAACUAUAUAAUCUAAAUUGUUAAUUUGUUGCAUUUAGGCUCUAAGUUGGAAUUUGAACAGAAAGAUCACUGAGCAGGACAGGGAGAAACAGUGAAGAAGGUGGAAGCAGCAAGCAGGUUAUCGUAUCUCGACUUCCGAAAGUGCAAGAACAAUAUACUGGCACAUUUGUUAGUAAAAAAGUAGGAGCCACAUACAUAGCUUGAGAUGUCCUAAGAUGCCUUUGUUAUCACAGUAGGUUUUCUAAGGUUCUAUUACCUUGUGGAAAUUCUUUGGAGGGAGAGGGCAAUAUUUAGCUUGGGGGGGAAUAGAAACAAUACAGCUCUAUUAUAAUAUUCAUCCCCACCUUUCUAAAUUUUAAAAUGCAAGGUGAGAUGGAGAUAAUAAACUUUGGCUAAAACAAAAACGUGGAAGGAAUAGAGAGGAGGGAGGAGUGCACAAACCUAAGGCUCAUUCACAUAAUAGGUUAGCAUCGCAUCUGAAUGAGUUUUGGUAUGUAGUGUAUCACUGCACUGAUUUCUGCAACAUCCAACAUUUUUUUUAAAAAAUGAACUUCAUAUUUAUUUCUGCAUCUAAACAGUUCUGAUUUUUAUUUUUAAAAAAUCAAUUUCAUUUAUUUAUUUUUAAAUGCAUUUAUAAAAACU